GAACAAUAUGUUUUGCUCUUGGGCCAAAGUGAGUAAAAUUUGGUAUUAGACCCUAGAAUUUAACCUCAUAUGUUGGCAGUAGACUAGAAAAGGUCUUCAGAUGAAGAGAGCAGAGUAAAAUGGAGAAAGCCAUACACUGGGAGUCAGAUGGCCUGGAUAGGAUUCUGUGCUGGCGCUCAUUAGUCAGAAACUUGAGGUGAGCCAAGGACCUUAGUUUCCUGAUCCAUGGAGCAGAAGGUGGGGUAGAUUGUCUCAAAGUUUCCUUUCAGUUCUAGAAUUAUGAGGUUUUAGGUACUUCUUGGGUUAUUUUAAGCUAAAGUUAAAUGUUGACAUGGUGUAAGCUUCUAAUAUUUUUCUUCUGAUGAACUCAAGUAGCCUAUUCUAAAUUGUAAUAUUUAUCUUAAAUUGCUUAAACUCCUUCAAUCUAACAAACUAGUAUUUCUUAUUCAGCAAACAGUUGCUGAAUGUUUUCCAUGUGCCAGGUACUGUACAAAGGCCUAGAGUAACAGAGAUAAGUGAGACGUUUAAUUACUGUCCACAAGUAAUGACAUUGCAAUGUGCUAAGUGCCCCAAGAGAGGAAUGAAUGAAGUGCCGUUGUUGUUCAAAGGAGAGGUUGAUUUAUUCUGCUUUGUGGGGAGCCAGGACAGCUGAGAAGGAAGUGGCAUUUGAAGGGGUCUUGGAAGAUGUGUUUGCCAGGUGGAAGAUGGUGCUGAGGAGGUAACUGAAGGGCCUUACGGGCGGACCGAGGGGCAUGGUCAGAGUGAGGGAGAUAGGAAGACGCACAGUGUUUGAGUAAACCUUCCAGAUUGAGUUUCAGUUUCCAGGGCUAAAUCAUAGGGAACAAAUGGUGGGGGAGGCAGGGCUUUGACUAGACAGAAGAAUGGGCAAGAAUGCUCUGGAAGUGGAGUGAGGAAUUAGGAGGUCAAAUUCUUGCUAACAUUACCUCUGGGACUUCUUCACAAGUUGAAUAAUAAUUCAUAGUUUUCUUGAGCCUCAUAUAUAGUGAAAUUUACUUGCACUUCUACCCAUAAUUGUUGAGUAGAAUGAUUAGAACAUUCGUCUCUGUUAAUUGACCAUUUACUAUAUAUUGUCUUAUUCUCAAUGUCCAAGUCUAAUAUCUCGUUAAAAACUUUUACCCACAUCUUCUUUUCCAAAAAUUUAUCUCAGUAUAACAUUUAUAGACCAAACAUUUUUUAAAAUGUGUUUUGUUUGGCUAUAGGACAAAGGAUUAGGUUUUUGACAAGGAAUCACAGAUAUGUUUUAAUGAUAGGCAGUGUAUUCUUCAUAUAUAGAAUAUCAUAUUUUACCUCAAAAUCCCAACUCAAACCAUUUUGGUCUAUUGAAAGGAUAAAAUGGGAUGAUGGUUUGGAAGCUGUUUUUUGUGAACUUUAAGGUGUAGAUUAUUGUAAAUAAUUAUAACUAUCGGAAAGAGUACACUAUUACAUUUUAUGUCUGAGUCUCAGCCUUCUCCCUCCACAGUUAUAGGGUAGGAACUGCAUGUCAACUUGGAAUCGGACUCUGUUUUGAGCCAUUUAAUUUAGACACUUAUUAUUUUAAUGUAAGCGCUUUUACUUUGGCAGUCGACAUGCAGUUCUAAUUAGCGCUUGGAACACAGCAGAGUAGGUUGAUGAGGUACAAGACAUGAAAAAAUACGUUCUUAAUGGCCUGCCCGAGGACUCUGGCAGCAUCCAGGAAAGACGCUUUCGGCACAGUGCUCGAUGCUUCUGAGAAAUCAUCUUCACUGGCACUUACACUCUUAUAAAUUUAAUCGCUUCGGUGUUUUGAAAAUGUCAAAAUAUUGGCAUUAGCAGCUUUGUCAUCUAUACCACAGAGAGAACAGUAAUUUCUUAAGCUCAUUCUGAUGUAGCAACUGAUGUUUAAGAAAACUAAACUUGUUUUCUCCAUCUGCCCAGGAUUCGCUUCCCAACUUUGCCAGUCAAGCUCUUACUCAUCCUUUAAACCCUAGUUAGAAUAUCUCCCCCCACAGUCGUCCCUCCCUUUCCCCCGUGGCCAUUCCCUUUUCUGUAUAUACGCAUUGUCUGAAUAUCUACAUCUACAUGACCACACUGAGUUGUAGUCACUUUUUAAUGCAUUAGUCUCCCCUGUUGACUCUCAAUGUCAUAUUUGUAGAACUGUGUCCCCACAUCUGAAUUUUGGUUGCAUCCAAUUAAAAUGCACUGCAUGGUGGAAUAAAAAGAACACUCACUUUAUAGUUAAACUCUUAUAGGUUAAAUCUUAACUGCUAUUUACUUGCUAUGGGAACUUGACCAAGUCACUUAACUUCUUUGAGCGUCUUCAAAUAAGAGUAGUAAAGCCUGCUCCGCAGGAUUGUUGAAGAUUACAUAAGAUCCAUCCAUCAGUUUACCAAAUAUGGAGAGAUCCUGUUACAUGUGAGCCACGUUACUUGGUACUAAGAAUAUAGUAGUCAAUAAGGCAUGAUCCUGCCCUGAGAACUUUAUAAUUUAGUGGGAAAGACAGACAAGAAAACAGCCCAUUGCAAUAUAAUUCUUUCUUUUUUUUCCGGAGGUACUGAGAUUGACAUCUCUUAUCAACAGGUACUCUUUGUUUUGGCAAGGAAGGAUUCACCCUGAGCUAACAUCUGUUGCCAAUCUUCCUCUUUUUUCUUCUCCCCAAAGCCCCAGUGCAUGGUUGUCUGUCCUAGCUGUAGGUCCUUCUAGUUCUUCUCUGCGAUCUGCUGCCACAGCGUGGCAACCAACAGGCGAGUGGUGUGGUUCCACGACCGGGAAACAAACCCGGGACACUGAAGCAGUGAGAGUGCUGGACUUGAACCACUAGGCCGUCAGGGCUGGCUCUGCAAUAUAACUCUUGAAGGAUGAAUAGGAAUUCUCUAGCACAAGGGUUCUAGGGGGCAGGGUGAAGGCAGCAGGGUUUAGGGUGAAAGGGGAAGCAUGUGUGCUGCCAGAGAAAGUUGACAAGUCAAGACAUGGAGAGAGGCAUAAUAUAGCAGUAGCUGUGGGGUUGAGGCUAGAGAUGUAAAUACCAUGCGGGACCUCACAAGCCAGGCUCAGGGCAGGGGGAACCUGUGAGGAGUAGAUGAUCAGGUUUGCCUUUCAGAAAGAUCUCCUUCCUUGGCAGGGUGUGGAGUGGUUUGAGAUAGUCAAGGGAAUCAGUACAACCAGUUCAGAGGCUGUUGCCUUGAAGAGGUGAUGGCCCCUAUAGCAGGAGUUGCGGUGGGAAUGAGGUAAUGAGAACGUAUUGAGAGAUUUAGGAGGAAGAUAAGGCAGGAUGUGAUCCAACGUGUUGGUGAAAAGGAGAUAAGGAAAGGAGAGGAGUCAGGGAGAAGAAACAAGAGAAGUGGUUUGGAGUGUAGUGGGGAAUAGAAAGUCCAGUUUGGAACCUGUGGGGUUUGAAGUACCCAUGGGAAGUGUGGGACAUCUCGAGUUCAUCAUCUUGAACUCAUGCAUAUUUUGACCCAGCUGGUUUUUUGUUUUUGAAUAUAAACAUUUCCCCUAGGAUGAUAUCAACACUGAUGAAUUUUGUGGCAAAGAUUUAUUCCAGGGUGAACUCCAUUAAGGCAAUUUAAUUCCUUGAUCCAUUUUCUAUAUUGCAUAUUUAAACUGUUUACAAUUGUUUCCACUUUCAUUUUUAUUUUACCAACAUUAUCUCCAUCAAGAUAAAAUCAUUCUCCUGUUCAUUUUAAAAGGAAGCUGGCUCUUUCAACUUUUUUUUCUUCAUCUUUGUCAAAUUUUUAGAGAUUAUAGCUUUCUCCAUGGUAAGUUUCCUUUUAGAUCCACUAUUUUUAGUGUGUCAGAUUUUACACAUGUAAACUUUUAUCAAAUCUUUUUCAUUUUUCAUCAAUUUGUGAGAAAAAUUUUUAUCAUUUGCUGUCUCUGCUAUUGUUAGCUGUAGUUUAUUUUUUUUAACCAAGCCUAAUAUUUUCCUGAAACUUUUUACAGUUUUUAAAUUUACCAACAAUAUGUGAUCUUCAAGUCAGCUUUUCAUCUAUAACAAAUUUUACUAUGUAUCAUUUUGGGCCUUGUCACUUUCAUUUUGGUCCUUAAGAUCAGACUGCCUCUUGUUGACAGAAUCAAAAUGGCAUACUUCAGCCUAUGGAUGGCCAAGGGGAGAUGUCCGUGAAAGAGGGUAUGUAUAUAGGUCUGGGGAUUUGCAAAGACAUCUGAGGUCAAAUACAGAUUUGGGAGUCAUUUGCAUCUGGGUGUUGAGGCCAAGGGGAUGGGUGACAUCUCAUGAGAGGGUGUAUAGGGUGAGAAAAGAGUACCUAGGAAAACUAGGAGGAGCACCAACAUGUGGGAAAGAAAUGGCCCGAGGAGGAGGAGUCCAUGAAGGACAGGCAGGAGGUAGGAAGAAAUCCGUAGGAGGGCAUUAUCGUGGAAGUCAAGUCAAGGAGAGUGGUGGUUAACAAUGACAGGUGCGGCAGAGGGCAUGUAGGAUACAUACUGAAACAUGUUCUUUAGAUGGGGCAACAAUAACACCAUCACUCUCCUUGGUGAGAGUCAUCACAUGAGUGGAGAAAAACUACCCAGCUGAGCGUACUCACAAGAGGAGAGAGAAGGAAGUGGAAAAAGUGCAGGCAAUUAUACAGCUAACAUUGACUGUAAGAAGGGGAGUUUGUUUGCUUGUUUGUUGACUGGUUUAUUUAUUUCCUUUUAAAAGGAGAGAGACUUGAGCAUGGUUAAGCACUGAUAAGUUGGAGAGAGAGUUGGAAUGGGAUUCCUGAAGAGUGCAUUAGGACCCCAGUCCUUUCCAGGAGCCGGGAGCUGACAUCAGUCUUGCUGCCUAAAGCUCCGUAUCCAGCACUUACUAGCACCAGGCACUGUAGCAAGCAAUGGAGGUUAAAACAUGAAGAGACACUGUCCCAGCCCUCUCGGAGCUCACGUUCCAGCAGAUUAGCCUUGAACUAGCAUCCACUGCCAAGCCUCCUCUUUCUGCUGAGGAAGACUGGCCCUGAGCUAACAUCUGUGCCCAUCUUCCUCUAUUUUGUAUGUGGGACGCCUGCCAUAGCAUGGCCUGAUGAGCAGUGUGUAGCUCUACACCUGGGAUCCGGAGCAGUGAACCCCAGGCUGCCAAAGCGGAGCGCGUGAACUUAACUGCUGUGCCACAGGGCUGCCUGUGUCAAUGACUUUCUUUUAGUAAACACAACUAGGAUUGAGGGCAGAAGGGCAGGGGAGAGAGGGAGAAAUGGAGGGGGGAGAGAGAGAGAGAUGCUUGAUUUUUUAAAAGAUGGUCCCUUGGACAAGAACACUUGUCAAAGAAGGCCUGGAUGCUCUUGGGAAUUAGCUGACAUUCCAAAGUGUUCACUUUUCCUGAUAGCUUUUGCACCCCUUAAGACGACACCGAGAGCGACCCUAGUCCCUCCACAGCCUUUGAAUGAAUGGGAGGCCCUGAUCUGUUUGGGUGAUUGGAUUUGUCUUGGCAGGUGGGGCUGGCUAUCAUCCACUUAAGCAGGACAGGUUCUCCAGGGUGCCAAGAAGGCUCCUCUUCAACAUGUUCUCUUGAUUUUUACUGACUCCUUUGACAGGGAGAAGCCUCUUGCUUACGAGCCACCCACUACAAGAGCACUUGCUGACGUUAAUGUGUGAAUGGCAUCCGUACCAGGCACUUUCCUGAGAAAACACUUUGAUAGAGCAGAGGACAGAGCAAGCAUGACGAUGCCCAGUUGUGGAAAACGGGAGAGGGUGUCUUCCGACCGAGGGAGGACGGGGAGGCUCAGAGUAAGACGUAUUUUACCAGGAAGUCUCCCAAUCUGUGAAUUGAGCAUGCCUCACACGGAGAUGGUAUUUCCUCCCUGACGCUGCUGCUCCCUGCCUUACUAAUUCUAAUCCCCUCCCCUGCUUCGCUGAAACUGGAAACCUCAGUUAUUUGUGCUUAUCUCUGUGCCUCGAAUGUCGUCUGUUUUGUUGCCUCUUCUCUGGUCCAGCUCCUAUCGCCCUAGGACAGACCCUCAGCAUUUUUCCCCUGGGCCAUUUCAGAAGAGAGGAGCAGAAAAGCCUGCAGACUCUGGAGCCAGACUUCCACGUUUAAUUCAUUGCUCUGUAUUUACUGGCUUUGACUCCCUGGGCAACUCACUUAACCCCCUGUGCCUCGGUUUCCUCCUGCCAUUUGAGAUGCACAACAGUAUUUGUUACAUUUAGUCUAGUGGGAUUCAGUGAAAUAAAAUGUGGGAAAGGCUUGGAACGGUGCCUGGCAUGUAAUAAGUACACAAUAAGCACUAGCGAUCGUUUCCAAUGUCUCCUAACUGGUUUCACUGCCUUCUCGUCUCCGCCCCUAACCCCCUCUCUUUUUCCCACAUAGUAGGCAGAUUGGUUUAUGAUACGUAUGAACAAAGCACUUCCUGCUGGAACAAGUUCCAUGAUGCUCUGGACUUCUCAAGCUGGCUUCAGGCUAUCUUUCUGAAGCCAUCUCCUCUCCUGCCGCAGCUCCAUAGGAUGCUGCACUUACCUGGUCCUGCCACUGCCAUCUGCACUCACAUCUCUGUGCCUUUGGGGCUCUCUACCUAGGAUUUCUUUCUUUCUCCUUUUCUCCUUGGUGAUAAUCCACUCCUCAUCCUUCCAGACACAGAUCAGCUGUCACAUCCUCAGUGGAAACUUUGCUGCCCCUCCCCUCCUCAUCACCAAGUAAUGAUGAUGGUUUCCUUCCCGGCAGUCCCAUGGCAAUUUGUAUAUCCCUCCAACUUAGCCCGCCUGCCAUAGCAGUGUGACUGUGUAUGCACUCCACAUCACCCAUGCCCAUAGAGGGGGAAGCCAUGCCUUCCUGCCCAUCUUGGCUCCCACAGGAUUUCCCUGUGACCAAAUCCUAUUCUACCUUCCCUCAUGGCAUCACAGAUUCUCUUUGUAGCACUUUUCACAGUCCCAAAAGGAAUUGAGGAAGUGUUCUUCAGUUUAUGGAUAAAAGUGGUUGAGAAAGAGAAUGAGAGGAAUGCAUUUGGGAAGGACAAAUUUAUGAGUUGAAUGAUCUGGUUCCUGUGCUUUGUGUCUGCUUCAAGAGCUUGUAGAAACUUUUUAAUACAAAGUGUCAGUCUCUGGGAGGUCCCUCCACCAAGGAUUUGCUGUCCUCUUCUUGCUGUGUUCACUUCCUUCCCUGAGACGCAGUUAAGAGAGGACAGAAUGAAAGCUUCUGAAACCAUAAAAAUAGAUAUGCUAUUGUCCUAUUGUUCUGUAUGGAGAAGAGGGCCACCUACCCUGCAGUUGUUCACGCCGAUGCUCCUUGUUUUAGCAAUGAAGCGCUGAACUCAGACCCAAAUCAUUGCUGUUUGAUGUUGGGUUAGCAUUCUCCUUCAGGAAAAAGUCUACUGAACCCAACAGUGGUGGGUCGGGUUCCCCAGACACAGAGCAGGAGACAGGGACUGUUGUGAAAGUGAGGUGUUAAAAGAGAGCCCUCAGGAGAAAGGGUAGUGAGAGAGGAAGAGUAGGGAAGGAGAAGAAAGCCCAGCGUGGAUGUGGCAUUGGCAGGGACAGCCCUGGCCCUGACCCCACAGGGAGCUUGGGAGCAUGAAUUGCACCAUAGAGCUGGACCCCCUUGAAGCAAGGGGUAUGGUUUUUUAAACCCUCGUGUCAGUCGCUCAUGGUCCCCUGUCUUCUCUGAAGGGAGAAUGGUGGAAGCCUAACCUCCUGGAUGAGGCAGUUCCUUUUGGUCGAGGACUGACAGCAUCUACUACACCAACAAUCUUGGAGUGAAGAAGUGGGGAAAGGUGAUAGCUCAGAGGAUGUGCUAAUGACUAGAGUCUCAACCUCAUUUGGGGGAACUUUGGAGACAAUGCCGUGGGGAUGGGGAAAGUGUGUGCAUAAGGUGUCUGUGCAUGCCUGUGUUGGAGGAAGGUGGUCACAGAGUUUCCCGAGCUAUAUGGUACGGGACCCAGGCAAUUUUAUUAGGAUAUUUAGGGAAUGAUGACCUCAGAAGACACAAGGACUUAGCAAAAGUGAAGCAGCAGACAUUUGGUUUUUGGUUUUUGAUAAUUCAGGGACUCUUUAAAAGGCCAUAGCUUUGCUGUGUCUUUGUCUUGGUCUAGCAGCAAUUGACUGUGGCUAUAUGUUAUGUUUUCUGUUUAAUUAAUUUAUUUAGACUGUCCAUGCUGGUUUUGUAAAGUUUUUUUUUUUUUUUUUUUGAGGAAGAUUAGCCCUUAGCUAACAUCUGCUGCCAAUCCUCUUUUUGCUGAGGAAGACUGGCCCUGAGCUAACAUUCGUGCCCAUCUUCCUCUACUUUAUAUGUGGGAUGCCUGCCACAGCACGGCUUGACAAGCAGUGCGUAGGUCCACACCUGGAAUCUGGGCCAGCAAACCCCGGGCCACGGAAGUGGGACGUAAAAACUUAACUGCUGUGCCACCUGGCCGGCCCCAGAUUUUGUAAAGUUUAACCCAUACACAGAAGGUGAUUGCAAGAGGAAAGUGGAUGCUGCCAAGCCCUUUCGUUGGGGAGUUACUGCUGGACGCUCUGAAUUGAGCUCUGCAUUCCGGAGAGCUGAGACAGCAAUGGGAUAAGUGUCCGGUUAUAAGGUUCUUAUUAUUUGGGAAAAUACAAGAUCUAUAAUGUCACAAAGGGCACAAAACUUUAUUAAUCUCUUCCAAUAAUCUCAAGCCAAAUGGGCGAGACUCCUUGCAUAAGUUGGUUAGCAUUGUUCCUACCUGGAUAGCUCCAAGCAUGAGUCUUUGGCCCUCUCAGAGUUUCUAGAGCUGCCUAAUGUCCUUAAAUAAGUUCCUUGUCUGUUUUAACUUGGACUUUUAAGAAUGGAUGACUUCAGAAAGCUGGAGGGCUUCCAGACAUACACAUGGCUGACUUUUGUAUUUUUACAUGUAUAAGCAUCUUCAAAAAGACCAUAGCUUGCUGGUUGACUGAAUGUUUGUGGGUCUUGCAGAUACUUCUACUGCUAUCAGCGGGUCCAGCAUUAUGUUUCUAAAGUUUUCCCCCAUCUGGUCUUCAAUGGAAAUUCCUAUCUCUGCAGUCAUCAUUUUCUAGAGGCCUGAGUACGACAUUCCAAGCGCAGGGUUACUCAUGGUGACAGGGCUUGAACAGGCCAAGUUUGAAAACCUUGCCUUCCAAAGAGUUGCUAGAUCCUGAGAACUGUAGAUGUUAUAUUUUUUGUGCAUGUGUGUGAUUGAGGUCUAUAACUGUAGAAGCUGUUUCAACAGCUCCUGAAAAUGGUCGCUGACAAAUCUGUAACCAUUGGCUUCUCUCCUUCUUUCAUUUAGAAGUCUGGUGCAGAAGAAAUAAUACGCAGUUAAUUGAGAGGGUUCAUUCAUUUGGGUUCCGGUUAAAGUCAGAGAAAGCCCUAAUCUUAGUGCUAUUGGCCUCAAGAAAUGAUCUGUUAGAGCACCUGUAAAACAGCAACAAUAUUAUUAAGGGAUGUUAUCAGAAAAAUCAUUUCCCGAGCAGAGAUGUGAAGCUUUAAGAUCUAUGUGUGUUUCUAUCCAUAGUGAGUUGGGUUUUAUACAAAUCCGAUUAUAUGUGUGUAAUAGGGUACCAGGUGUGGUGGAAUUUUUUAUUUAGAGGUGAACACAGGAAGUCACAUUGGAGCAGGAUCCUUCAUAUAAAUAUCGGAAUUCAAGCAUAUCUUGACUUUGGAAAAUGGUAGACAAUUAACUGUUUUUGGUUUGUUUCCAAUCCUGAAGUCUAACAAAGACUUCUCAGUUUGCAGAGGUUGUGGGAGGGAGCGGAUGUAUUUGCAUAAGGAUCCUAAAAGCCUUCUGAGAGGGGAGGAAAUGAGGCAUCGACCUCUUCUACCAAACGUUAAAAUUAGGAAAACCUGCCAUGGUGGACUAUGGUGGACCUGAGCAAAGUGCAGUGACAGAAGAGGACACUAAAUUUCCCCAAAGGGAAACACCGCAAGACAAAGUGGAGUCUGGCAGUGAUCUGAGCUCCAUACAAUAGCCCCCAAAAGGCGAAGAGCUCAUUCUGGCACACCAUGAGCCUGAGUUCAGAAGAUCCACAGGUAGGAGCCAGGAAACCAAUGCUCUUGCAUGCUAUGAUAAAGAUCAUAAACAUUCCAUACUGCAUAAAGGGCCACCGAAGGAUUUAAAGCAAGUCAACGGCUGAGUUUUUGUAUUAGAGAGCUCAUUCCAGUGACCAAUGUGGAGAAUACAUUUAAGAGGAACAAGAAUAGAGUCUGGGAGGCCAUUGUCUUGGUCCAGGGGAGAGGAAUAGAGCCUGAGUGAGCCAGUGAUAGAAGGAAAAGAUUCAAGUAAUAGGAGGUAAAUCUGUCAUGACCACUCAGGGGAAGCAGUACUUAAUUUGUUUGCUAUUAAUGCUGUUUGUUACUAUUAUAAAUAGUAGGGAUUGUAAUAAGUGGCCAAUUAUUCUCCUCCUGAUUCCACUUGUUACAGCUGUUGGUCUCUAAAAAGAAAAUUAGAAAGACGGGGCUUUGAUUAGCUUCACUUACUUUCCUAAUGACUGUUGUUAUUAUUUUCAGUAUAUUGAGUGGAGUCAUUGUUUUAAUUUGCAUAAGUGGCUUUUGGAUAUGCAAAGAUCCAAUUACAUUAAAAGCUAGAUAUCAAUUGAUAUAGGAGAACAAUUACCUAGAUAUGGCCAUGACAUUAAAUAGAACAAAUGUCUGACUCGAGAGUUUGCCAACAUUUCCAUUGAGUUAAUUCUUGCUGCCAAGAAUAAUGGAGGAGAACAUAAAGAAAAGGAGAAGAAAUAUAGAUGGUCUUAGCCAAAUGAUACCUCUGCACAUUAGAAGAAUGGGGUUUUUUUUUAACCAAAAUGUUUAAAAUUAGAAAACCAACACAUUUUUUGUUGUAAAACAGCAACAAUAAUCUAAAACUAUAAAAUGGUGUAUAUGGUAAAAAUGAAAAAGCAUCCACCCCACAACCUCCUAUUGGCCGGGACCCGGGAUAGCCACUAUUCACAGGCUGGUGGGGAUUCUUCCAGGUCGGGGGUGUCCUUAAAGAGAUUCUGUUCGUUUUAGAGUCUAUGACAGCACGUGUUUCAUCAAGCUAAUCUUUGACCUAUUUUCUUAUCUGAUAAAGUCUACUUGAUGAUUCAGUUCAUAGCUUGCUGGUUGGCUGAAUGCUAGAACUGUUGCUGGCAAGAGAUGCUGUCAUGUUGGGACAGUAGGCAGUGAGAAUAAGAGGAACAGGACAGAAGGUCAGGAGAAGUGGCUCAGGUGAAGGUUGAGUACCAAAGGCAGAUCCAGGCACGAAAAUAGGAUGACGGGCUUGGGAAUGAAGCCCUGGAAGUCCACCUUCUCUGCCUUCACUUUUUCACUCCAAUCCUAAUCACUCUGACCCUGCUGUUGAGUUUUACCCCCAGCCUUCUUCCAAAUUAUUCUCCCAAAGGUCACCAAGGGACCAUUUGGUCACCACAUUUGAUGACCUCCCCUCCAUUUUUACCCUUCUUAACCUCGCUCAGUGUUGACAUUGCCAACCACAGGCUCCUUUAUGAAUCUUCUGCUUUCCUUGGCUCUGGUGACAAUGUGCUUUCCUGGUUCUUAAGUGUUCCCAACCAUUCUUGCCCUGAUUUACACCAUUCUCCUCUCCUGGUCCUCAAAUUGUGAGCAUUACCUACAACUCUGUGUUUUUCCUGCUCCUCUUUUCUCUGCAUUUUCUAUUUCUUGGACAUUUAAUUCACUUCUGUGGCUUCAACGAUGAUCUCUAUGAGGGAAACUCUAAAAUAUUAUCAAUAUAGACAUAGAUAAAAAUAUGAAGCUAGCCCUGACCUUCCCUGGAGUUCUGAUCUUCUGUUUUCUCUCACCUUCUAGACACAUCCCAUUUAUAUUUCACUUUUUUUUUUUGCAGGGCAAGGUUUGGCCUAAGCCAACAUCUGUUGCCAAUCUUCCUCCUUUUUUCUUCUCCCCAUCCGCCCAAAGUCCCAGUACAUAGUUGUGUAUAGUUUUAACUUCUUCUGGUUCUUCUCUGUGAACCGCCACCACAGCAUGGCUGCUGACAGACAAGUGAUGUAGUUCUGUGCCCAGAAACAGAACCCAGGCUGCUGAAGUGGAGUGUGCCAAACUUUAACCAGUAGGCCAUCAGGGCUGGCUCUCAUUUGUAUUGCAAACUCAGCAUUUCUAAAACUGAACUUGUGGUCUUCCCCAUCAGACAAACUCCUUUGCAUGGCCUAUGGGGGCCUUGGUGAUCUAUCCCUGCCUACCCUUCCAGUCUCGUGUCUUGCUACUCUCCCACAAGGACCCUCUGUUACAACAGACCUAAAUACCUGCAGCUGUCACAUGGCUCUGUGCUAUCAACUGCACUCCCUCCACCUGAAAUGCCCUUCUCCUCAGACCUGGAUUUUUUUUUUUUUUUUAACCAGACAACCCUUCUUCACUCCUUGAAAUUUCUCUUGAGUAUCGCCUUCUUUAGGAAGGCUUGCUUGAAUUCCUGAAUCUGGUGCCCUUCUGCUGUCUCCUAGAGCAGCCCCUGGAACCUUCUGUUAUAAGACUUAUCACAUUAUGGUGUAUUUGGUGGUUUCCUUUCUUGUGUUUCUAACUAAACUAUGAGGCCUCUGAAUGGAAGGACUGUGUCUUUGGUCUCCGCACCCGCAGGACCUAGUCAUACAUAGUAGGACUGAGUAAAUACUGAAUAAAUAUAAGAACCAGCUUCUCUCUCCUGGCUUCUCUAUUUUUAAAGAGAGUAAAGCCAUCUCAAAUUUUUUUCUCAAAGCCUGACUUCUCCCCCUAACUCCGGAAUCACAUUCCUUUGCAAUAUCUCCACCUGAUUGUUCAGCAGGUUUAUCAAAGAUAGCAGGUUCUAAGCAAAGCUCUUGAUUCCUUGGCCCACUGUUCCCCCAUCUCAGAAAGGGCACACCUAUUUAUAACUGCUCAGCUAAGCAAAGACCUUAGAAGCAUCCUUAAUUUCUCCCUUUUUCUUAUACUUCACAUCAAAUCUAAUUAAAAAAUCAUAUAAGCCUUAUCAUAUAUUGGGAAUCUGGCCAUUUUUCGUUGUGUCUAACGAUAUCACGUUAGUCCAGGCCACCAUCGUCUCUUGCCUGGACUCUUGUGGUGCCUUCUCACUGGUCUGUCUCCAUUUGCUCUUGCCCCUCUACAAAUGAUUCCCCCACACAAUGGCCGAGGUCCUUAGCCUGGCUUACAAGGCCUUUCCAGGUUUGGCCUUUGGCUACCCCUUUGGUCUCACUUCCUGCCGACCCACCCGUUGUGGACUCUGCUCUGCUCACACUGGCCUCCGUGCUGCUUCCUGAACACACCAGACCCACGUCGGGGUUUUCCUUUACUGUUCUUUCUGCCUUGACCUCUCUUCUUCCAGAACUUUUUGUGGAUACUACUUCAUUCUCUUCCGGUCUCUGCUUAGAAGUCACUUCCAGAAAGAGGACUUCUCUGAUCACACUGUCUCAAAAAGGACCUCCCUGAGCCUCUAUGCUCUUACCCAGAUUUUUUUUCCUUUACCUCCUGAUAUUUUAUAUUUCUUUAUCUAUCUAUUGAUCUCUUCUAGCUAGUAUAAAAGCUCCCUGAGGAUAAAGUCUUUGUCUAUCCAGUUCUUUGCUGCAGCCCAGCAUCUGGAACAGUUCCUGGCAUUAUAGUAAGAGCUCUGUAAAUAUAUGAUGAGUGAAUUAAUUAUUCUGGUUCUUGAGGGCUGACUCGUCUUUGACUCUCCACUUGCCUUCCUUCCUGUGUAUAGUCACCACGUCCUUCAGAGUCUUCCUUGUGCGUAUUCAAUGAAUAUUUGUUGAUGCAAACUGUCUUACACUGUGUCUAUCACUGAGCUGCUUACUUCCCACAAUUGCUCUAUCAAAUUUGGCGAUUAUGCG
rnacentral:lncRNA from 1 species